rnacentral:rRNA from 1 species
UCCUACGGGAGGCAGCAGUGGGGAAUAUUGGACAAUGGACCACAAGUCUGAUCCAGCAAUUCUGUGUGCACGAUGACGUUUUUCGGAAUGUAAAGUGCUUUCAGUCGGGAAGAAGUCAGUGACGGUACCGACAGAAGAAGCGACGGCUAAAUACGUGCCAGCAGCCGCGGUAAUACGUAUGUCGCAAGCGUUAUCCGGAUUUAUUGGGCGUAAAGCGCGUCUAGGCGGCAAGGAAAGUCUGGUGUGAAAAUGCGGAGCUCAACUCCGUAUGGCGUUGGAAACUGCCUUACUAGAGUACUGGAGAGGUAGGCGGAACUACAAGUGUAGAGGUGAAAUUCGUAGAUAUUUGUAGGAAUGCCGAUGGGGAAGCCAGCCUACUGGACAGAUACUGACGCUAAAGCGCGAAAGCGUGGGUAGCAAACAGGAUUAGAUACCCUGGUAGUCC